GGAUCUUGUUUGUGUGUAGUUGCGUUCUGCAUUGCAUAUAGCGUCACGGUCGGUUGUAGUUCAUCUAAUAAAAUGAUGUACGCUUACCACGCUGCACCUUGGUCUAAUUCUUUCAUCAACGAACGUGACAAGUUUACAGGUUCACAGGAGCUAUGUUACCGUGUGCUGUCUAUCCGAGACUGCUAAAUAAUUAGCCAUGGCAGUUUCUAAUGAUUCCUCUUUUCAAGAAGGGCUGGAUGAUGAAACAGGACUCUGGAGGUUAAAUAACAAACAAUCCAACAGCAGUGUAUCCCUCAAGCCAUCUGGGGCAUGAACAUCCUGUGCCCGUGUGAUCCGAGAGCAAACGUCCAGUUGUGGAGACUAAAGCACAUCGAUAUUUUGAACAUCGCAGAAAUGAUUUCCCACCGUGCCCAUGAUGAAGUUAACUACAUUACUUUAGUUGGCUUCUUGGAGCAUAACUUGUAUGUAAUAUAACCUAUUCUGGGAGGUGUGUGUGUGUGUGUGUGUGUGUGUGUGUGUGUGUGCGCGUGUACGAACUAUGUGGAAUAUUCCUGGACCUUUUGUCUUCCCUGAAAACAGGUACUCACACGAGGAGCAAUAUGAGUCCACACAAUGAAGUAGCACCUGUCCCUUCCAGUGAUGCGGAGUUGACCUUGGACCUGGUGGCAGUAAGGAUGGUCUUCAUGGAGACGACAACAACUGAUCGGAGGACCCCUUUUUAGCAGCGACAGAGUAACGCGCUUGGCCCUAACCACUGCUCCAUAAUUGCUGGCCAUCAACCUCCCUCUCAUAUUGUGCCAGUUGGGUUUGAUGCGCUGUCCAACUUGCCUGCCGUAUAGCCUCCUGCUGCUCCACCGACAGCAAACAAGCCAGGCAGGAUGUCUGCAUGCCCCAGGUGCGCUUGUUUUUAACCAUGCCGGUACAGACAGGGAUGACAGGGAGGGUAGUGGUUGUUCUGGCACAGAUUCAAGGAGACAUGCCAUUCCACUGAACGGAGAUAGAGGGUUGUAGUCUUCAGCCAAAUAUAGGUCCUCCAUUGACUGCACCUGGUUGGGCCACGGCUGGCUUCCUCCAAUCACAUUCCACAUCCGUAUGGACGAUAUUGUGAACUGCCAUAAUAGGUUGCAUGGCUACACUGAUAAGCUCCAUGGAGGCAUUUGUAUGUGGCAGAGAGAAUCCCCUGGUCACCUAUAGAGACCUGCCGAGAUGAAGGAUGUUACGUGACACAUGUCUUUCAAAGCUUGACUUUGAAGACCUUGAAAUGCAUUUGUUGAAAGAAAUGUGCUAUAUAAAUAAAGUUUGAUUUGAUUGAUGACACUACAGCUGUAGAAUAUUAAUAAACUGUCAUUUUCAUGAGGACAAGUGCAGUUUUUCCAUAAAGUCCCAAGUUAUCAAUUAAAAGUUUAUCACUUGACAUAUAGCUGUGUUCAAAUACCCAUACCCAUUUCAUAAAAGGAUCCUAUAAAUCAAGACUGAAUGUACCACUCCAAAUAAAUACUGUGCCUUUGAAGAUUUGUCUUUGGCCAUGCAUCUACAAUACAG
ensembl:lncRNA